rnacentral:rRNA from 1 species
AGUGAACACUGGCGGUAGGCCUAACACAUGCAAGUCGAACGGCAGCACAGGAGAGCUUGCUCUCUGGGUGGCGAGUGGCGGACGGGUGAGGAAUACAUCGGAAUCUACUUUUUCGUGGGGGAUAACGUAGGGAAACUUACGCUAAUACCGCAUACGACCUACGGGUGAAAGCAGGGGACCUUCGGGCCUUGCGCGAUUGAAUGAGCCGAUGUCGGAUUAGCUAGUUGGCGGGGUAAAGGCCCACCAAGGCGACGAUCCGUAGCUGGUCUGCGAGGAUGAACAGCCACACUGGAAGAGAGACACGGUCCAGACUCCUACGGGAGGCAGCAGUGGGGAAUAUUGGACGAUGGGCGCAAGCCUGAUCCAGCCAUACCGCGUGGGUGAAGAAGGCCUUCGGGUUGUAAAGCCCUUUUGUUGGGAAAGAAAUCCAGCUGGCUAAUACCCGGUUGGGAUGACGGUACCCAAAGAAUAAGCACCGGCUAACUUCGUGCCAGCCGCCGCCGUAA